AGUAACGGCGAGUGAAGCGGCAACAGCUCAAAUUUGAAAUCUGGCGCAAGCCCGAGUUGUAAUUUGUAGAGGAUGCUUCUAGGUAGCGACCGGUCUAAGUUCCUUGGAACAGGACGUCAUAGAGGGUGAGAAUCCCGUAUGUGACUGGCCCGCACCUUCUACGUAGCUCCUUCGACGAGUCGAGUUGUUUGGGAAUGCAGCUCUAAAUGGGAGGUAAAUUUCUUCUAAAGCUAAAUACCGGCCAGAGACCGAUAGCGCACAAGUAGAGUGAUCGAAAGAUGAAAAGCACUUUGGAAAGAGAGUUAAAAAGCACGUGAAAUUGUUGAAAGGGAAGCGCUCACAACCAGACUUCUAGGCAGUGUUCCGCCGGUCUUUUGACCGGUCUACUCUCUGUCUCGAGGCCAACAUCAUCUGGGACCGCCGGAUAAGACCUUAGGAAUGUAGCUCCCCUCGGGGAGUGUUAUAGCCUCUGGUGAUGCGGCGCGUCUCGGGUGAGGUCCGCGCUUCGGCAAGGAUGUUGGCGUAAUGGUUGUCAGCGGCCCGUCUUGAAACACGGACCAAGGAGUCUAACAUCUAUGCGAGUGUUCGGGUGUCAAACCCCUACGCGUAAUGAAAGUGAACGGAGGUGGGAAGCGUAAGCUGCACCAUCGACCGAUCCUGAUGUCCUCGGAUGGAUUUGAGUAAGAGCAUAGCUGUUGGGACCCGAAAGAUGGUGAACUAUGCCUGAAUAGGGUGAAGCCAGAGGAAACUCUGGUGGAGGCUCGCAGCGGUUCUGACGUGCAAAUCGAUCGUCAAA
rnacentral:rRNA from 1 species